rnacentral:rRNA from 1 species
GAUGAACGCUGGCGGUAUGCUUAACACAUGCAAGACGAACGGACUCUUCGGAGUUAGUGGCGGACGGGUGAGUAACGCGUGAGAAUCUGGCUUUGGGUUCGGGACAACCACUGGAAACGGUGGCUAAUACCGGAUGUGCCGAGAGGUAAAAGAGAAAUUGCCUGAAGAUGAGCUCGCGUCUGAUUAGCUAGUUGGUGAGGUAAAGGCUCACCAAGGCAGCGAUCAGUAGCUGGUCUGAGAGGAUGACCAGCCACACUGGGACUGAGACACGGCCCAGACUCCUACGGGAGGCGGCAGUGGGGAAUUUUCCGCAAUGGGCGAAAGCCUGACGGAGCAAUACCGCGUGAGGGAAGAAGGCUCUUGGGUUGUAAACCUCUUUUCUUAGGGAAGAACAAAAUGACGGUACCUAAGGAAUCAGCAUCGGCUAACUCCGUG